CCUACGGGAGGCAGCAGUGAGGAAUAUUGGUCAAUGGGCGCGAGCCUGAACCAGCCAAGUCGCGUGAGGGAAGACGGUCCUAUGGAUUGUAAACCUCUUUUGUCGGGGAGCAAAAGACGCCACGCGUGGCGUUCCGAGAGUACCCGAAGAAAAAGCAUCGGCUAACUCCGUGCCAGCAGCCGCGGUAAUACGGAGGAUGCGAGCGUUAUCCGGAUUUAUUGGGUUUAAAGGGUGCGUAGGCGGGCUUGCAAGUCAGACGUGAAAACCACAGGCUCAACCUGUGGACUGCGUUUGAAACUGGGAGGCUUGAGUAAAGUAGAGGUAGGCGGAAUUCCCGGUGUAGCGGUGAAAUGCGUAGAGAUCGGUAAGAACACCGAUGGCGAAGGCAGCCUACUGGGCUUUAACUGACGCUGAGGCACGAAAGCAUGGGUAGCAAACAGGAUUAGAUACCCUUGUAGUC
rnacentral:rRNA from 1 species